AUGGCUUCAUUUUGUUCAGUGAACAUUGUUGUUGUAGCUAGGUUAAUUCAAUUCUAGUGGCAUAUUUUUUGGUGAAGCAAUACAAAUUGUUGCCCUCGCUAUCCGGUGCCUCUUGUUAUGUGGCAUUUGGACGUUGGGUAACUACAUUU